AGGUGGGUCCACACCGGACGAUCCAUCGAUCCCGCGAUCCGCGAUCCAGGAUCGCGGAUCGUGGAUCGUGGAUCGUGUUAUGCCGAUCCACUCUUGGAAACUUGCGAUCCCAAAUAUGCGCUCCAAGCGAUCCUAAGGCGAUCCGUGAUUCAGCCAGUCUAACUCUUGUACGAUAUGGAGUCACACGUACAACGGCGGCGUCUUGCCGUUGCAGCAGUAACUUUUAUUUUGCUUAAAUGCUUGCGCAAAAAAUCACAAAAAAGAAAACGACGGUUUUGGGUGAAACAAAUUUACAAAAAUCGCUUGGAAUCUGGGACUCAGCUGUACGCAGAGUUAGUGUCAGAUAAAGUUGAACACAAUUUUGCAAGAAUGAAUGCUAAUCAAUUUGAGAUAUUGUGUUCAUUAUUAAAUAACAAGCUAAGAAAGAAUGAUACAAAUUAUAGAGAUGCCAUUACUGUGAAGGAAAGAUUAUUACUAACAUUGAGAUUUUUAGCAACUGGAGAUUCGUACGUCAGUUUGCAGUAUCUGUUCCGCAUUUCCAAACAGUCUAUAUCGAUAAUUAUUCCUGAAGUUUGUGAAGCCAUCAUUGACCUGUUAAAUGAUUAUGUAAAGAAACUGGGACUGCGAUGAAUUGGAGGCUAGAUGAGCAGACGGUGAUGUCUGUGGAAUUGGAGCUGGAUAAUUUUGAGGUUGUAGAGACUGGGACUGUGAUGAAGUGGAUGCUAUUGGUGUGCCAGGGUGCCGUCAACUAAAGAAGAAUGGCGUACAGUUUCUCAGCAAUUCGAGAAUAAGUGGAAUUUCCCACACGUGAUAGGAGCGAUGGACGGCAAACACGUCGCUAUACAAUCGCCUUUUAAUAGUGGCAACGACUUUGAUAAUUACAAAUUAUUUCCUAGUAUUGUUCUUUUUGCAUUAGUAGAUGCAAAUUAUAGGUUCCUGUAUGUGAAUGUUGGGACUAAAGGCAGAAUAUCAGAUGGAGGCGUGUUCAAAAGCACAAAUUUAUAUAAAAAACUUGAAAAAAAAGAGCUAAAUAUUCCUCCACCGGAGAUAUUGCAAGUUCCCUAUAAAAUUGAGGUACCCUAUUAUAUACUAGGUGAUAAAGCUUUUCAGCUUAAUGAUUAUACUAUGAAACCAUACGAUGGUACACGGGAAAGGGGUUCUUGUGAAAGAAUUUUCAACUACCGACUGUCAAGAGCACGUAGAGUAGUUGAAAACGCGUUUGGAGUACUUAGUUCUGUCUACAGAGUCCUGCGUAAACCUAUGCUUUUGGAACCAGAAACUGCGACUAAAGUCGUGCUGGCAACGGUUCAUUUAUAUAACUACUUACGCAGUAAUCCUAACUUUAUAUCGCCAGGAACGUUUGAUACAGUACAGGAGAAUGGAGAUGUAAUACCUGGAAGCUGGCGAAAUGAACCGCCAUCACAAUCGCUACAACCGAUGGCCGUCGUACCAAGAAGAGCAACAGAAAAUGCCACUACAAUACGGUCCCACUUAGCAAGACACUUUGUUACAAACCAUACAAUAGUUUGGCAAAAUGAAUAUCAGUAAACUAAUAGCUCACAAUAUGUU